GGAUGUGAGGGAGAUCUGGCUGUGACACCUGUUACCUCAUUGAUCGCCAGGAUUGAUUUGGCGGAUUUGCUUGGUUGCAGGGGCGGGGGGGGGGGGGUGGUUCUUAUUCCUUCACUGCUCCAUGUGCAUUUCUCCCAAAGCUGCGGACUGGGUUGGGAUAGACGAGGACCUGUCUUUGGUCAAGGGCAUAUAAUUAACUGCACUCCCCUGCUAGAACCUCCAAACAAGUUCUCAAGGUUUAUUUGUAGGGGAACUUAAGGUAGUCAAGCUUUCAAAAUUCCAGACACGUCCAAAUGAGGUGUUGCACAUGGCAGUCUGCCUUU
rnacentral:snRNA from 1 species